CAGCCGCCACGGGAAUACGUAGGUGGCAAGCGUUGUCCGGAAUUAUUGGGCCUAAAGGGCUCGCAGGCGGUUUCUUAAGUCUGAUGUGAAAGCCCCCGGCUCAACCGAGGAGGGUCAUUGGAAACUGGGAAACUUGAGUGCAGAAGAGGAGAGUGGAAUUCCACGUGUAGCGGUGAAAUGCGUAGAGAUGUGGAGGAACACCAGUGGCGAAGGCGACUCUCUGGUCUGUAACUGACGCUGAGGAGCGAAAGCGUGGGGAGCGAACAGGAUUAGAUACCCCUGUAGUCCCUGUCUCUUAUAC
rnacentral:rRNA from 1 species